UACGUAGGGCGCGAGCGUUGUCCGGAAUUAUUGGGCGUAAAGAGCUCGUAGGCGGCCUGUCACGUCCGCUGUGAAAUCCCGGGGCUCAACCCCGGGCCUGCAGUGGAUACGGGCUGGCUGGAGGCAGGCAGGGGAGAACGGAAUUCCUGGUGUAGCGGUGAAAUGCGCAGAUAUCAGGAGGAACACCGGUGGCGAAGGCGGAUCUCUGGGCCUGUCCUGACGCUGAGGCGCGAAAGCUAGGGGAGCAAACAGG
rnacentral:rRNA from 1 species